rnacentral:lncRNA from 1 species
AUGAACAAAAGAACAGAAGCAAUGUUGGAAUAUUGCAGGGGAUGCGAUUUCUGGUUUCACUCUAUGUUUCAAAUUAUUUUUCUCGAAGCCCCUGCUGUGCGGGAAGCCAGCUGCCAUGUUUUGAGCUCCCUACGGAGAGACUCUGAUGUCUCCAGACACCAUCUAGCAGAGACCUGUGGCUGCCCAUAGUCACGUGAGUGAGCUUGGGCGUGGCUCCUUCCCUCGUGGAACCUUCAGAUAGAUGACUACUGCCCUGGGGGAAGCCUCAGUCGUAUACUCCUGGGAGACUCUGAGCCAUCCCCAGAUUCCUCACUCACAGAAACUGUGAGACAGGGGCUCCUGCGUGGCUCAGUCAGUAAAGCUUCUGCCUUCGGAUCAGGUCAUGAUCCCAGGGUCCUGGGAUCAAGCCCCACAUUGGGCUCUCUGCUCGGCAGGGAGUCAGCUUCUCCCUCUCCCUCUGCCUGCUGCUCCUCCUGCUUGUGUGCUCACUCUCUCUUUCUCUCUUUCUCAUGAGUGUGUGCUCUCUCUGUCA